CCUACGGGAGGCUGCAGUGGGGAAUAUUGGACAAUGGGCGAAAGCCUGAUCCAGCCAUGCCGCGUGUGUGAAGAAGGCCUUCGGGUUGUAAAGCACUUUCAGUGGGGAAGAAAGCCUUGGGGCUAAUACCCUCGAGGAAGGACAUCACCCACAGAAGAAGCACCGGCUAACUCCGUGCCAGCAGCCGCGGUAAUACGGAGGGUGCGAGCGUUAAUCGGAAUUACUGGGCGUAAAGCGCGCGUAGGCGGUCUGAUAAGCCGGUUGUGAAAGCCCCGGGCUCAACCUGGGAACGGCAUCCGGAACUGUCAGGCUAGAGGGCAGGAGAGGAAGGUAGAAUUCCCGGUGUAGCGGUGAAAUGCGUAGAGAUCGGGAGGAAUACCAGUGGCGAAGGCGGCCUUCUGGACUGACACUGACGCUGAGGUGCGAAAGCGUGGGUAGCAAACAGGAUUAGAUACCCUGGUAGUC
rnacentral:rRNA from 1 species